rnacentral:rRNA from 1 species
AUUGAACGCUGGCGGCAGGCUUAACACAUGCAAGUCGAGCGGGGUGAUGGUGCUUGCACUAUCACUUAGCGGCGGACGGGUGAGUAAUGCUUAGGAAUCUGCCUAUUAGUGGGGGACAACAUCUCGAAAGGGAUGCUAAUACCGCAUACGUCCUACGGGAGAAAGCAGGGGACCACUUGUGACAUUGAGCUAAUAGAUGAGCCUAAGUCGGAUUAGCGAGUUGGUGGGGUAAAGGCCUACCAAGGCGACGAUCGGUAGCGGGUCUGAGAGGAUGAUCCGCCACACUGGGACUGAGACACGGCCCAGACUCCUACGGGAGGCAGCAGUGGGGAAUAUUGGACAAUGGGGGGAACCCUGAUCCAGCCAUGCCGCGUGUGUGAAGAAGGCCUUAUGGUUGUAAAGCACUUUAAGCGAGGAGGAGGCUCUUUUGGUUAAUACCCAAGAUGAGUGGACGUUACUCGCAGAAUAAGCACCGGCUAACUCUGUGCCAGCAGCCGCAGUAA